GACGAACGCUGGCGGCGUGCUUAACACAUGCAAGUCGAACGGAAAGGCCCUGAUCUUGUGCGUCUCUCGAGUGGCGAGCGGGGGAGUAACACGUGAGUAUCCUGCCCUUGUCUGUGGGGUAACACUAGGAAACAGGGGCGAUAAUCGGGGAGGAUAUCUUGCUGCGCGUUGGGGGUUGGAAAAUUUCGGCUGUGGUGGAUGGUCUCGCAGGUUACGAGCUUGUUGGUGGGGUAGUUGCGUACCAAGGGUUUGACGGGUAGCCGGCCUGAGAGGGUGACCGGCGACAUUGGGACUGCGAUACGCCCCAGAAUGCUACGGGAGGCAGCAGUCGGGAACCUGGCGCAGUGGGCCGGAGCCUGAUGCAGCAGCGCCGCGUGCGGGAUGCCGGCUUACGGGUUGUAAACAGCUGUCGACUGUGACGAAGAGUGAGUGACGGUAAUGGGUCAAGAAGCACCGGCUAACUACGUG
rnacentral:rRNA from 1 species